rnacentral:lncRNA from 1 species
CAAUUAGAUCAAUAAUAAACUUAGACAUAGAACGUAGCCCCAUGGCUUCGGGAUGGUCACCACCCACCUUGUGGUAGUGCCGACAAGCUAAGAAACUCGGCGUCGCGGUCCACGUGCGCCGCUUCAACACCUUGGGUCAAAACGAACCCUAGAGCACCCAAAUCGGCGAUAUCUCCGUGCUCGCUCGACGGAUCGACGAACCAUCUUCGCCUACGCGUUCGGGAACAUAACAAUUAGGUUUCCGACCCAUCAAAAUAGAUCAAAACCCUAUAUUCCCAAAAACCCCAAAAUCCAACCCUAGGUUUAGCACCCAUGGGAAACCAUGGUUUCUAGUUUCAUUAUGAGCUAAAUCCAUGUCCUCUAAACAAAUUAGGUUCCAUUUGAACCAUUAAAAGCGACAAAAACUCUCAAAACCCUAGAAAUCACAAGUUAGGGUUGAGGCUUACCUUUAGGGUUUGCUCCAAAGCAAGCCCUAGCUUGAGGAAGAGGAGGGAGAGAAGCUUCUUCUUCUUCUCCUUGAUCUUCUCCUUCCUUUCCUUCUUCUUCUCUUUCUUUCUCUCCUUCUUUUCUUCUUCUUCUUCUCUUUCUUUCCCUUUUUCGGUUUAGAGAGAGAGAGAGCUAAGUGAGAGGGAGAGAGAGAGGCU